UCGAGCGUUUUCCCCUUCCCAGGUUUGCAUGCAGCCCUCAGAUGUAUCUGUACCUUUGUUCAGGUCUUCGCUUUACCGAGACCACAGUGGAUACCCCAAGCCCUGGAGAACACCAGACUCUUUCUUCCCUUGCUUUGAGUUGCCUUGUGGAUUGAGAGAUGAUGGACAGGAGAGGAGCCUCAUCUUGUUGCUUCAUUUGUUCUGAUGACCCCUGGACUCAACUGCAUCCCCCUCGCCCUCUACUGCACUCCUGAUUCCAGAGGUAAACAUUAUAACU
rnacentral:lncRNA from 1 species